AUUGAACGCUGGCGGCAUGCCUAACACAUGCAAGUCGAACGGCAGCGCGGGGGCAACCCUGGCGGCGAGUGGCGGACGGGUGAGGAAUGCAUAGGAAUCUGCCCGGUUGUGAGGGAUAACGUAGGGAAACUUACGCUAAUACCGCAUACGACCUUCGGGUGAAAGUGGGGGACCUUCGGGCCUCACGCGAUCGGAUGAGCCUAUGCCCGAUUAGCUAGUUGGCGGGGUAAGAGCCCACCAAGGCGACGAUCGGUAGCUGGUCUGAGAGGAUGAUCAGCCACACUGGGACUGAGACACGGCCCAGACUCCUACGGGAGGCAGCAGUGGGGAAUAUUGGACAAUGGGCGCAAGCCUGAUCCAGCAAUGCCGCGUGUGUGAAGAAGGCCUUCGGGUUGUAAAGCACUUUUGUUCGGGAAGAAAUCCGUGUGGUUAAUACCCGUACGGGAUGACGGUACCGAAAGAAUAAGCACCGGCUAACUUCGUG
rnacentral:rRNA from 1 species